CUCUCCUCCCCGCAGCCUUUGCCCUGGGCCUCCCCUUGCAGCAGUUCCACGCUCCGGCGCGCUCCUCGCCGCCGCCCACGACUCCAUCCCUGCCGCGCGUGUGCCAUCCCCAGGAGCUUCAUCUCCACGCUUCAGCCGGAGGAGGUCCUGGUCCUUGACGCGGUCCGGAGCAGAGCGUACAGGGGCAGUACUCUCCUGUGAACGAGACGUCGAGGGGAAGCUGGAGACCAGCGUGGCUGGGAGGCGUGGGCGCGGCUGAGGGCAUCAUAGCGCGCUCGCCUCCGGGGAGCGUGAUGGACGGGAUCGGCUCAGCCUUGAGUGACGGGCUCGCCGCAGCCAUGAUUGCAGAGGUGAGAUCCAGGGAGGGCCACGACUCCACGAGCAGGUUGUUUGCUGCUGACCUGAGUGGGUUUAUUUCGCGUCCUUUUUCCUCAUUGAUUUCUUCGAAUCCGGACGAGGUUAACCCUACUCCCAAACACUCUCAGUUAUGUUACAUAUUUUAGAUACACAGAACAGGUUGGAUCAUAGAUGCACUUAUCUGCAGAGGACGAGGGUCCUGCUAUAGAUGAUCAAUCAUUGCCUUCAGCUCUAUACCUGGGGUGACAAACAGAGGAAGUUGGUCCUUGUGUAUUGGAUGAUUAUCCGUUGUGUAUGGCGGAAUAGAGAGGAGGCAGAUGUCACAGUGUACUCUCUCAUGAGAGUGCUUAGUGAUUGUAAUCUUCUGGUGCGGAAAUUCCAUAUGCCCAAUACUUGCUGUUUUCUCCUCAAACUCCACAAGUGGCCAGCAGAUUAUAUGGUCAUGAGUGAGCAGAUCAUGGCGACUCGAAAAAGGGUUUAAUGCUCUUGCAAUAGAUGACAUCUGCUGUACAAACCAUGGAGACAAGAAAGGAAGUGCUUCACCAUCUCUAAAAACAUAGACAUUAAUUUACAGUUUCAGGUCCACUUCAUGCUGAUAAAAUCAGCUGGUCCACCAGGGCAUUGGUUUUCUGUCUAUCGGUGACUUGCACUGAAACUUCUUCUGAUGGCAAUGGUUACCAUGAUGACUUAUAACUGGUUCAUGUUUGAGGCUAGCUAUGGAAGGUUUUUCCAGCUGCUCCUGUUUCAUCCCAAGUAUUUUUCAGUUGCUGAAGCGUGAAGAGCAUGUAAAUGAGAAUGGAGCCUCAUAAUUUUUUGGAUGGAUUAGCUAGAAGGACAUUACCGAGCUUUAUACAAGCCCAUUUAAUUUCCUAUUAUUCUGAGAUUUGUGCUCAAUAAUCAAGUUGGUUGUUUAUGUGCUCAUCUGUAUUUUAAGUGUAGCAUAAUUUUCUUUCAGCAAGUUUAGGAGUGUUUUGUACUAUCAAUCAUAGCGUUCAACAUGCUUCCUCUUCUGAUUUUAUUGUCCUUCUAUUUGAGUUUUUUUUGGGUCAAAUGCUCUCUACUUUUCUAUGUAAAUGUUAAUCUACCAUCAACUCUUACAUGAGGU